rnacentral:rRNA from 1 species
AACGAACGCUGGCGGCGUGCCUAACACAUGCAAGUCGAGCGCGAAAAGAGCAAUCUGAGUAGAGCGGCGCACGGGUGCGUAACACGUGGGUAAGCUGCCUCGAGGUCUGGGAUAACCUUCCGAAAGGUCGGCUCAUACCAGUUAAGAUCACGGCGACUCCGGUCGCUGAGAGAAAAGGGGCCCGAAAGGGUCUCGCCACGAGAUGAGCCCGCGGCCCAUCAGCUAGUUGGUGAGGUAACGGCCCACCAAGGCAACGACGGCCAGCUGGUCUGAGAGGACGAUCAGCCACACUGGAACUGAGACACAGUCCAGACUACUACGGGAGGCAGCAGUGGGGAAUUUUGCACAAUGGGCGAAAGCCUGAUGCAGCAACGCCGCGUGUGUGAUGAAGGUCUUCGGAUCGUAAAGCACUUUCGACCGGGACGAACAAGCCUGGCCACACCAGGCCCUGACGGUACCGGGAGAAGAAGCACCGGCUAACUCUGUGCCAGCCGCCGCGGUAAGAC